UUGUUCUUCGUUCCUGACGAAACACUACACAAUUAUAAACAAAUUGAGGGAAACGUACGGAACGCAACUUUCGACCUGAGCCUCUCAAAGGCUUACAUGGAUGGAGGUAUUGCCAAUGAAGCUUGGGAGGCUAGGGAAGAAAAGGGAGUCACACACGACGGGACCAUAAACGACCCCGAAGACCCAGGCAGUUUCUGGACAACAGAAUGGGCGUUACCUUUCCGAUCUCUGUCUGAAGGGUCUACAAGAAAUCAAUCUAAACCAUUUGAUGAUGAAGUUCACUUUAUGCAAUU